rnacentral:rRNA from 1 species
GUGGGGAAUUUUGGACAAUGGGGGCAACCCUGAUCCAGCAAUGCCGCGUGCAGGAAGAAGGCCUUCGGGUUGUAAACUGCUUUUGUACGGAACGAAACGGUCCUGGUUAAUACCUGGGGCUAAUGACGGUACCGUAAGAAUAAGCACCGGCUAACUACGUGCCAGCAGCCGCGGUAAUACGUAGGGUGCAAGCGUUAAUCGGAAUUACUGGGCGUAAAGCGUGCGCAGGCGGUUUUGUAAGACAGGCGUGAAAUCCCCGGGCUCAACCUGGGAAUGGCGCUUGUGACUGCAAGGCUGGAGUGCGGCAGAGGGGGAUGGAAUUCCGCGUGUAGCAGUGAAAUGCGUAGAUAUGCGGAGGAACACCGAUGGCGAAGGCAAUCCCCUGGGCCUGCACUGACGCUCAUGCACGAAAGCGUGGGGAGCAAACAGGAUUAGAAACCCCGGUAGUCC